CCUGUGCGGCCGCCUUUGUAGCUGUUGUUUAGAGCAGUGCUUCUCAGCCUUGGUCCUGGGGACCCCCGGUGUAUGCUGGUUUUCAUUCCAGCCACAGGCGAUCGAAAAGGAUGAAGCUGCUUAUCUCUGUUCACUCCCUCAGCGCUGUUCCCGCGGUCCGUCAGAACCACACCGGGCGUGCCCACUCACCUGUCAGGCCCCGCCCCACGAUGCCACAAACCCCCGGC